AUGUUUCCUGCUUGAGGUGGGGGAGGGGCGUCUUCUCUUCCCGCGUCCCGAACCCCGCGUCCGAGAUCCUCGUGGUCCUCUGGCACCUCUCACUCGGCGGGUUUACGCCACAGGGUGAAUUGCGACCCCACACUGCUCAGCCUGGCUGGACGCUAGCUUCGCCCUGGCCCCCACCAGAAGCAUGAGUCGGACCGUGUUUCAACAAGCAGAGUAAAUGUCUCUGAGUCAGACAUUUUGAGGCACAGAUUCAACUAGAAUGCAGAUCUUAUGAUUGAGGUGAUGACGUCACUGGG
rnacentral:lncRNA from 1 species